GUGUUCACUUUAGUGGCAAAUAUACAAAAAUUGGAAAAAUACAAAGGUUAGCAUGGGCCCUGCACAAGGAUGACAUAUAGCUUUGUGGAACAUCCCGUAUUUUU
rnacentral:snRNA from 1 species